GGGAAAUAUUAGUCACUUUCCUAUAUUUCCUCAAUUUUCACCAAUAUUUUUAAUUUUGCAGUUUUAAAUUUUUUCCUCACUUUCUCGACAACCAACCACUGGAAUUCUCACUCAGACAAAAAAGGAAAAUGUCGAAAUUCGAGUACCCGAUACUCUCCCGCGCCGACAUAAUAUCAAUCCUUGCUGAGUCACAAAUUGCCGCCGUCACCGACAACGAUUUCAAGAAUGUCAAACCCGAUUUCGUCUCCGAUCUCUACACUCGCCUCCUCAUCUACCUCGACGCUCUCCAUGAGGAAGACCAAGGACAAGUUGAGUUUUCAGCAUUGGAGCAAUUUGAGAACCCGGAUCUUCUAAUUGGAUCAAUCCAGGUUAUGAACUUGUAUUGCAGGUUAAGAGAGGUGGUUGCUUCUCUUAAUUGUCCAAUGCAAUUUAACCUUAGGGAUUUGGUUAAACCCGAUUCGGCCCGGACUGAGUUUUUCAUCAGCGCAAUCCUCAACUUUUGUCUUUAUAAAGACACAAAAAUGAAUCUUCUGAGACCGAUUGCUGAGGAGCUGACCCUUCUGGAUGAGCAGCGAAAGGAGUGGGAGGCUAAGAUUUCUCAGUUGAAUGCAGAGAUUGCAGGUUAUAGUGAAGCAAGAGAAAGGGAGUUACCCCUUGUUCAAGAGGUAGACUCAAAAGUUAAAGAAUUGCAUGAGAUGAUUGCUGGCCUCAACAGUAACCAGAUGUCAUUGAGAACUUCUUUUCGGAAUUUGAAGGAUAAGACUGGGCAAAUGGAUGAGAAGAUUUCUAAGGCUGAGUUUGACCUGGUACAAAGUGUCCAAGAAAAUGCAAAUCUACGUUCCAAAAUAGUUCAGUCACCAGAUAAACUACAGAGAGCUUUAGAGGAAAGGAAAUUAGCUCGAGACGAGGCAAAGACUGCUGAAAGGUUAGCUAUGCAGUCUUUUCAGGAGAAGACUACCAUUGUUGAGGUCUAUAGCAAGGCUCUUAAGAAGAUGUCAAAGCACUUUGCCUUAAUGCAAGCUAUACAUGAACAGGUGAACUCUGCAAAAUCAGUUGAGAAAGAAUGGAAGGGUUUAAAAGCUAAGUUAAGUGAUGAUGCUGUGUUAGACAAGUCACUUGAGGCUAAACUGAUUGAACGGCAAGGAAAAGUUGAACAAUUGGAAGAACUCCAAAGGCAGUUACAAAAAGAAAGGGGUCUCAAGUUUCAGGAGUCUACUAAACAUUUGAAUGAUGUGAAGUUGGAGGUGGAAUCUAGGCGGUGUGAUCUGGAAGCAAGGCAAAAGAAGGUUGAAGAUGUGGUGGCAGAGGUAGACUCGAUAACGUUAAAGACUAGUAUGGUAAAAGAAUCUGGAGCUGCUAAAGUGCACGAUUUAGUUAGUAAGUGUGAAGAGAUUGUAAAACAGUUUCAACAUUAUUCAUCCUCUAUUGGGGUUUUGCUGCCUGUGCUUGGGACAAAGACAACUUGAUUGAGAAGCUGCAACCAGCCUUUAACUUGCAUGCUAGGAAGCCACUCUAUUGUGAAAUCCAUUUUAUUCAUGAAAAUGAGUAACUUGCUGGAAUUCCCUGGCCAGUGUCUGCUGAUGCAGCAUGGUGCAUGCUGUAUUUGGGAUUGGUGCAGCUUUCUCGUCUGAUACUUCAUCAGGCUGCGGGAUGUCGUUUCAGUACUAAUGCCUAAUAUUGAUUGCCGUUGGAUGGUAAAUCUCUAGCCUUAUCAGGUGUUGGAGGUACUAAUUGACAUGAACAAGGCAACUGGUCAGUGGAAUUCACAUACAGGGUUGUCAGGCAUCGAACAGCUGGGCUUUGAGUGAGUCUUCAUGAUUUAUGCAUAUGCUUCUUUUUUUCUUUUUCGUGAAAAUCAUGCUUAUGCUUAUAUGGUGGUAGCCGAAGCAGAGUGAAAAUCCUUUUCACUGUUAAUAAGCUCAGAAAUGGGUGGCUGAGUGCGCUUUCCAUGAUCCUAAUGGCCACCUGAUUUCAGGACGUUGUGAACUUUUUGCAAGGGAAUGGGGCUGUAUUUUAUUUUUCCUUUUUUGGGAACAGGAAUUCGAAUCUAGUUUUUUGAACAGCAUGGAGCCGUGUGGUGAGCACAGAGGGAACUAUUCGUUUGCCUUUUUCAACGGAGGAUAUAUGAAUUUACCAUUGAAUCAAAUGUUUGAGUGCAGGAUCGAGAUUGUUAGUAGUCUCCCAUUCAUGGAAGGCAUAAUAGGGGUUGCGUUGCUUGUUCAAU